GGGCCCAUAGCUCAACGGUUAGAGCAGCGGACUCAUAAUCCGUGGGUUGCAGGUUCGAAUCCUGCUGGGCCCACCA
rnacentral:tRNA from 1 species